AAUCCGGUUGAUCCUGCCGGAGGCGACCGCUAUUGGAGUUCGAUUAAGACAUGCGAGUCUGAGCAUUAGCUCGGCGUACCGCUCAGUAACACGUGGGUAACCUGCCCUACUGUUCGGAAUAACCUCGGGAAACUGAGAACAAUGCCGAAUAGUCCACUACGCCUGGAACGGUGAGUGGAUGAAGGUAGGAUGGGCCUGCGGCGUAUCAGGUUGUAGGGGGUGUAAAGGACCUCCUAGCCAUCGACGCGUACGGGUGUUGGGAGACAUAGCCCGGAGAUGGAUUCUGAGACACGAAUCCAGGCCCUACGGGGCGCAGCAGUUACGAAAACUUGGCAAUGCGGGAAACCGUGACCAGGGAACUCCAAGUGAGUCUCUUUUAGGGGCUCUUUUCUUGACUCUAAAACGGUCUUGGAAUAAGGGGUGGGUAAGGACGGUGCCAGCCGCCGCGGUAAUACCGGCGCCUCAAGUGGUCGUCGCUUUUAUUGGGCCUAAAACGUCCGUAGCCGGUUUGGUACAUUCGUGGGUAAAUCAACUCGCUCAACGAGUUGAAUUCUGCGAGGACGGCCAGACUAGGGACCGGGAGAGGUGUGGGGAACUCUCAGGGUAGGGGUAAAAUCCUGUCAUCCUGAGAGGACCACCUGUUGCGAAGGCGCCACACUAGAACGGAUCCGACGGUCAGGGACGAAGCCUAGGGGCACGAACCGGAUUAGAUACCCGGGUAGUCCUAGGUGUAAACGCUGUGGACUUGGUGUUGGGGAUUCUCCGAGGAUCCUCAGUGCCGAAGCGAAGGUGAUAAGUCCACUGCCUGGGGAGUACGGUCGCAAGGCUGAAACUUAAAGGAAUUGGCGGGGGAGCACCGCAACCUGAGGAUUGUGCGGUUUAAUUGGAUUCAACGCCGGAAAACUCACCAGUGCCGACGGACAAAUGAAAGCCAGUGUAAUGAGCUUGCUGGAUUGUUC
rnacentral:rRNA from 1 species